rnacentral:rRNA from 1 species
GACGAACGCUGGCGGCGUGCUUAACACAUGCAAGUCGAACGAUGAUCAGGAGCUUGCUCCUGUGAUUAGUGGCGAACGGGUGAGUAACACGUGAGUAACCUGCCCCUGACCCUGGGAUAAGCGUUGGAAACGACGUCUAAUACUGGAUACGACUGCCGGCCGCAUGGUCUGGUGGUGGAAAGAUUUUUUGGUUGGGGGUGGACUCGCGGCCUAUCAGCUUGUUGGUGAGGUAAUGGCUCACCAAGGCGACGACGGGUAGCCGGCCUGAGAGGGUGACCGGCCACACUGGGACUGAGACACGGCCCAGACUCCUACGGGAGGCAGCAGUGGGGAAUAUUGCACAAUGGGCGAAAGCCUGAUGCAGCAACGCCGCGUGAGGGAUGACGGCCUUCGGGUUGUAAACCUCUUUUAGUAGGGAAGAAGCGAAAGUGACGGUACCUGCAGAAAAAGCACCGGCUAACUACGUGCCAGCAGCCGCAGUAA